GUGCAUCUUAUGAACGGGGAAAUACGCCAAUGAACAAAAUAGGAUAACUAAUAUGGAAAGCAAUACAAAGCAUAUAGUCAUAUGGUAACAAAUAUCAAAAGGCAAGAAACUAGAUGAAUAAGGCUAAUACUGCGACAUACAUGAUGCUCCGGACUAUCACCAAGCCUAAUCCCACUGAAAAGCGUGAUAACACCUACUAACCUUCUAUCUUAAUCUACG
rnacentral:misc_RNA from 1 species